AGAGUUUGAUGCUGGCUCAGGACGAACGCUGGCGGCGUGCCUAAUACAUGCAAGUAGAACGCUGAAGAGAGGAGCUUGCUCUUCUUGGAUGAGUUGCGAACGGGUGAGUAACGCGUAGGUAACCUGCCUUGUAGCGGGGGAUAACUAUUGGAAACGAUAGCUAAUACCGCAUAACAAUGGAUGACCCAUGUCAUUUAUUUGAAAGGGGCAAAUGCUCCACUACAAGAUGGACCUGCGUUGUAUUAGCUAGUAGGUGAGGUAACGGCUCAUCUAGGCGACGAUACAUAGCCGACCUGAGAGGGUGAUCGGCCACACUGGGACUGAGACACGGCCCAGACUCCUACGGGAGGCAGCAGUAGGGAAUCUUCGGCAAUGGGGGCAACCCUGACCGAGCAACGCCGCGUGAGUGAAGAAGGUUUUCGGAUCGUAAAGCUCUGUUGUAGGUCAAGAACGAGUGUGAGAGUGGAAAGUUCACACUGUGACGGUAGCUUACCAGAAAGGGACGGCUAACUACGUGCCAGCAGCCGCGGUAAUACGUAGGUCCCGAGCGUUGUCCGGAUUUAUUGGGCGUAAAGCGAGCGCAGGCGGUUUGAUAAGUCUGAAGUUAAAGGCCGUGGCUCAACCAUAGUUCGCUUUGGAAACUGUCAAACUUGAGUGCAGAAGGGGAGAGUGGAAUUCCAUGUGUAGCGGUGAAAUGCGUAGAUAUAUGGAGGAACACCGGUGGCGAAAGCGGCUCUCUGGUCUGUAACUGACGCUGAGGCUCGAAAGCGUGGGGAGCGAACAGGAUUAGAUACCCUGGUAGUCCACGCCGUAAACGAUGAGUGCUAGGUGUUGGAUCCUUUCCGGGAUUCAGUGCCGCAGCUAACGCAUUAAGCACUCCGCCUGGGGAGCACGACCGCAAGGUUGAAACUCAAAGGAAUUGACGGGGGCCCGCACAAGCGGUGGAGCAUGUGGUUUAAUUCGAAGCAACGCGAAGAACCUUACCAGGUCUUGACAUCCCGAUGCUAUUUCUAGAGAUAGAAAGUUACUUCGGUACAUCGGUGACAGGUGGUGCAUGGUUGUCGUCAGCUCGUGUCGUGAGAUGUUGGGUUAAGUCCCGCAACGAGCGCAACCCCUAUUGUUAGUUGCCAUCAUUCAGUUGGGCACUCUAGCGAGACUGCCGGUAAUAAACCGGAGGAAGGUGGGGAUGACGUCAAAUCAUCAUGCCCCUUAUGACCUGGGCUACACACGUGCUACAAUGGUUGGUACAACGAGUUGCGAGUCGGUGACGGCAAGCUAAUCUCUUAAAGCCAAUCUCAGUUCGGAUUGUAGGCUGCAACUCGCCUACAUGAAGUCGGAAUCGCUAGUAAUCGCGGAUCAGCACGCCGCGGUGAAUACGUUCCCGGGCCUUGUACACACCGCCCGUCACACCACGAGAGUUUGUAACACCCGAAGUCGGUGAGGUAACCUUUUGGAGCCAGCCGCCUAAGGUGGGAUAGAUGAUUGGGGUGAAGUCGUAACAAGGUA
rnacentral:rRNA from 1 species